GCCGGCACAUGUACAUCUGACAUUUUCGAACACACAUUGCGGUCCACGUGUUCUCGUUCCCCGCGCCCGCCUGGGUGAGGGUUGU
rnacentral:rRNA from 1 species